rnacentral:sRNA from 12 species
UUGCGUGUAAAGACCCACCCGAGGCAAUGAUGCCUGCGUAUGUAGGAUGAGGGUAAUAGGGUGGGCAACGCAA